UGGUUUUCUUAACGGCAAAAGCAUCUCCAGACGAGUGUCGACAAAGUCAGUCCGACCACCUCCACGUGGAGUGCGGGCGGUUCACUAAGUGGACAAUUGUAUUGAAACCACUGUUAAUCGACAAUCGAAAGGUAACCGCUGUCAAAUACUGUGGCGACAACAUUAAUCACUUUCUAUGUCCGACGAAUUACAAAGAGAGCGCCAAACAGUUGAAAGCACUCAAAGUUUCGACGCGACGCGGGAGGUGCCAAGGACCUGAACUAAACUGAAGCUAAACUUUUUAGCUCUCCUGAAUACUCAACCCAUUAGAUACCGCAAACUCUGUUGAUACAAACCAUCGAAAUGCCACGUCUCAAGUGACAGAAUAUUCUACAUAUUGUCAUUCAACAGCUAA